rnacentral:rRNA from 1 species
UACGUAGGGUGCAAGCGUUGUCCGGAAUUAUUGGGCGUAAAGAGCUCGUAGGCGGUUUGUUGCGUCGGCUGUGAAAACCUGAGGCUCAACCUCAGGCCUGCAGUCGAUACGAGCAGACUAGAGUGUUGCAGGGGAGACUGGAAUUCCUGGUGUAGCGGUGGAAUGCGUAGAUAUCAGGAAGAACACCGGUGGCGAAGGCGGCUCGCUGGGCCAGUUCUGACACUCAUCCGCGAAAGCGUGGGGAGCAAACAGG